rnacentral:rRNA from 1 species
AGUCAUUGGGUGAAAAACCUAAAGGCGCAAUGAAAGUGUCAGGGGGCGCCUCCGGUGCCCCCGGCGGGAGGAUGGGUACACCGGCCCCAAAGGCCGGAGCCCCGCACUCCCGGGGCGUCUCACUCUCGCUCCGCGAGUCGAGACGCACCAGGAGCGCACACGCUGUUACCCGAAAGAUGGUGAACUAUGCCUGGCCAGGACGAAGCCAGGGGAAACCCUGGUGGAGGUCCGAAGCGAUUCUGACGUGCAAAUCGAUCGUCUGAGCUGGGUAUAGGGGCGAAAGACCAAUCGAACUAUCUAGUAGCUGGUUCCCUCUGAAGUUUCCCUCAGGAUAGCUGGCUCUCGAGGAGAGACGAGUCUCAUCCGGUAGAGCGAAUGAUUAGAGGUGAUGGGGUCGAAACGACUUCAACCUAUUCUCAAACUCCCAAUAGAUGAGAGCCCCGGCUUGCUUGAAAGUGAAGCCGCGGGACUCGGAUCGGAGAGGCCAAGUGGGCCAAUUUUG